rnacentral:rRNA from 1 species
CAACAGCUAGAGUUUGAUCCUGGCUCAGGAUAAACGCUGGCGGCGUGCCUAAUACAUGCAAGUCGAUCGCAUGUUUCUAGCUUGCUAGAGACAAGACGAGGCGAACGGGUGAGUAAUACAUAAGCAACCUGCCUACAAAGACUGGGAUAACGUUUGGAAACGAACGAUAAUACCGGAUAGGUAACCGGGAGGCAUCUUCUGGUUAUUAAAGGUUUGAAACACGAGUAGAUGGGCUUAUGGCGCAUUAGCUAGUUGGUGAGGUAACGGCCCACCAAGGCGAUGAUGCGUAGCCGGACUGAGAGGUUGAACGGCCACAUUGGGACUGAGACACGGCCCAGACUCCUACGGGAGGCAGCAGUAGGGAAUUUUCGGCAAUGGGGGAAACCCUGACCGAGCAACGCCGCGUGAGUGAUGAAGGUCUUCGGAUUGUAAAGCUCUGUUGUAAGGGAAGAACGGCGAGGGAGAACCCUCGAGUGACGAUACCUUACGAGGAAGCCACGGCUAACUACGUGCC